rnacentral:rRNA from 1 species
AUUGAACGCUGGCGGCAGGCUUAACACAUGCAAGUCGAGCGGUAACAGGUCCUUCGGGAUGCUGACGAGCGGCGGACGGGUGAGUAAUGCAUGGGAAUCUGCCCGGUAAUGGGGGAUAGCCCGGGGAAACCCGGAUUAAUACCGCAUACGCCCUACGGGGGAAAGCAGGGGAUCUUCGGACCUUGCGUUAUCGGAUGAGCCCAUGUCGGAUUAGCUAGUUGGUGGGGUAAAGGCCUACCAAGGCGACGAUCCGUAGCUGGUUUGAGAGGAUGAUCAGCCACACUGGGACUGAGACACGGCCCAGACUCCUACGGGAGGCAGCAGUGGGGAAUAUUGGACAAUGGGGGCAACCCUGAUCCAGCCAUGCCGCGUGUGUGAAGAAGGCUUUCGGGUUGUAAAGCACUUUCAGCGGGGAGGAAGGCUCACAGGUUAAUACCCUGUGGGAUUGACGUUACCCGCAGAAGAAGCACCGGCUAACUCCG